GACGAACGCUGGCGGCGUGCUUAACACAUGCAAGUCGAACGGAAAGGCCCUGCUUGCAGGGUACUCGAGUGGCGAACGGGUGAGUAACACGUGGGUGAUCUGCCCUGCACUUCGGGAUAAGCCUGGGAAACUGGGUCUAAUACCGGAUAGGAGCCAUUUUUAGUGUGAUGGUUGGAAAGUUUUUUCGGUGUAGGAUGAGCUCGCGGCCUAUCAGCUUGUUGGUGGGGUAAUGGCCUACCAAGGCGGCGACGGGUAGCCGGCCUGAGAGGGUGGACGGCCACAUUGGGACUGAGAUACGGCCCAGACUCCUACGGGAGGCAGCAGUGGGGAAUAUUGCACAAUGGGCGCAAGCCUGAUGCAGCGACGCCGCGUGGGGGAUGACGGCCUUCGGGUUGGAAACUCCUUUCGCUAGGGACGAAGCUUUUUGUGACGGUACCUAGAUAAGAAGCACCGGCUAACUACGUA
rnacentral:rRNA from 1 species